rnacentral:lncRNA from 1 species
CCACCACACCUGCGGUUUUUGGGGGGGAGGGGGGCAGCGUCCUGCUAAGUUAAGUUGCCCAGGUGGACUCAGACUUGCACGGACCUGCCCCAGCCUCCUAGAGCACUGUAUGCACUUCCGGGUAGGCAGACACUACCCACUCCAGCGAGGAGCUGCCUUGUGUCUGUGCUAGUGCUGUGAAAUAACUCUGGGACGAACCCUUUGCACAGGGAGCUUUCUGCUCACCUGACUUCCGAGAGUGGAGCCUAGCGCCCCCAAAUCCAGGGCUGUGGUGGAGUCCAUCAUUGCCCCAGAAAUGCUACCUGAUGUGACCUGUCUAGAGAAAGGAACUCGUGCAGUUUCUUUAUAAAGCUGAGGAAAGCUCUGGAACUUCCCCCCCAUCUCUUUCUGUGCACAAAGUUACGCUAAUCUCCUUGGUGUGCUGCCAGUGUGGAGCCUCUUUCCAUUCACAUGCGGGUCCUUUUUGGUUUUUGCUGGCGUCCCUCCCUGAGAGGUAUUUUGGGACUGUGUGCCCGUCAGCUUCUUGGGGGCAGACAGCUGUCAGUUCUGUUCACCUGUGUCCCCAGUGCCAGGCCAGACAGUGUGCAGCCGUGACACAGCAGUGGAAAGACAAGGGACACAGAAAAGACCCACAUUUAUUCAGAUCAGCGAACACUGCCAGGAGCCUGGUGGGCAUGUUCCCAGAGAGGAAUCACACCACGGGGAAUGAAAACUGCAGUGUGCCAGAGCUUCCUGCUGUUGGGGAUGUGCUAUGGGAAGCGACCCAGUUACCCUGUGGCAGCUCAGCCCAGCGUGGGGCCGCUCAGUGGCUGGACCUGUGUCGCCCUAGCUGUGAGAGGGGCCAGGCAGGUUCUCCAGGGACCUGGCAGCCUCUGUGCGUCUCCAGCCCCCUCAGGCUGUGGCCUGGGUGUGUGCAGAGGCAACGUGCCUACUUCUGGAGCCUCCACGUGACUGUCAUGCCUGUUCCCUCCUGGGAGGGGACACUGUAACACAGGCUGCUCAGGCUGGGCAGGCAAACCACUGGCUCUGUUUAGCUUUCCCUCAGCCUGGGCCUUCAUCAUCUCUACCCAGGCACUGACCUCUCCCUUCUGUAUUUUCCUUUUGUGGUGCUGGGGAGUGAUUCCAGGGCCUUCACAGUGAGCUGCAUCCCCAGCCCUUUUUAAAAUUUUUUGAGCACUUAGGAGGCUGAGGCAGGAGGCUUCCUGUGAGUUCAAGGCCAGCCUGGACUACAUAAUGAGACUCUCAAAAAAUCAAAAAUAAAUAAAAAUAAAAAUUUUAAAUUUUGAGACAGGGUCUUAUUAAAUUGCCUAAGGUGGGUUCAGACUUCCAGUCUCUUGCCUCAGACUCCUAGAGUUCUAGAAUUACAGGCAUGUGCCACCAUUUUUUUUUUUUGGCACUGGGGAUCAAACUCAGGACUUGUGCUUUUGAGGAAGGCAGGGUGCCACUGAGCUAAAUCCCGGCCCAGCAUCAUCUUUAGCUAAAGGUUUAUACUUCCACAGCAUCCUCACCUAUAUAGCCAGUGCCUCCGCGAGGCUAGAGACAGACCAUAUAAGCAGGGGAAUGAGGCAGGGCAGGAUUGGACAAGCCCCUGAAAUUAGGAGCACAAAACCUGUGAGGGUUUUGAAUCCUCCAAAGGUUGAAAACCAUCCUGCAGACAAU